CCUACGGGUGGCUGCAGUGGGGAAUUUUGGACAAUGGGCGCAAGCCUGAUCCAGCCAUGCCGCGUGCGGGAAGAAGGCCUUCGGGUUGUAAACCGCUUUUGUCGGGGAAGAAACGCUCUGGGUUAAUACCCUGGGGUAAUGACGGUACCCGAAGAAUAAGCACCGGCUAACUACGUGCCAGCAGCCGCGGUAAUACGUAGGGUGCAAGCGUUAAUCGGAAUUACUGGGCGUAAAGCGUGCGCAGGCGGUUGUGCAAGACAGAUGUGAAAUCCCCG
rnacentral:rRNA from 1 species